rnacentral:misc_RNA from 1 species
GGAUGAGACAGGCAGUGCGAGAGAGGUUUGAAUGCCAAUCGCCAACCACUCACAAAUAUGCUAUCUUUCAAUUAACAAUCUCCUCAAGCAAGGCAAAACCAACCUUCAACUCCACCAAGUCCAUGCCCACGCUGUCACUUAUGGUCUCCUCUCUCUUAGCAGUUCUCAAAUUUUAACCAAAAUCCUCUACGCUCUCACCAAGGCAAUUACCCCCAAAUCAUCAUCGUCUCUGUUGCACUAUGCAGUCUCCGUAUUCAAUGCUAUUCCAAACCCCUCUCCCUUUUGCUACAAUCUUGUCAUUAGAAUCCACACCCUCCAUUCCUCUCCUUUCCUCGCCCUCCAUUUCUUUCUACAAAUGCGCCGUUUCUCUGUACCUCCUGACUUCCACUCCUUCCCUUUUGCCCUCAAAGCUUGCACACAGCUUCGCUUUCUUUCGUUGGCCCAAUCGCUACAUUCUCAAGUUCUGAGAUUUGGGUUUGUCUCAGAUUUGUACGUGAUGAAUUCUCUCAUUCAUGUGUAUUCGGUAUCUAAUCGCUUAAAUUAUGCUUAUCAGGUGUUUGAGGAAAGUUCUCAUCAAGAUGUGGUCUCUUACAAUGCGUUGAUUGACGGGUUCGUUAAAGUCGGUGACAUUGAAAAGGCACGGAAAAUUUUUGAUCGGAUGUCUGUGCGAGAUUCUGUGUCGUGGGGUACUCUUAUGGCAGGGUAUGCCCAGGGAAGCCAUUGCAAGGAGGCAAUUGAAUUAUUUGAUCUUAUGAUGGAUUUAAAGCUUAGACCUGAUAAUAUUGCAUUGGUGUCUGCUCUUUCUGCUUGUGCACAACUAGGUGAACUGGUAAAAGGAACGCAGGUUCGCAAUUAUAUUGAAAAGAAUAAUAUACCGAUUGAUUCUUUUUUAUCAACGGGGUUGGUUGAUCUUUAUGCGAAGUGUGGGUGCAUUGGCACUGCUCUAAAGAUUUUUGAAUUGAGCCCUGAUAAAAGUUUGAUUACAUGGAACGCGAUGCUAGUCGGCAUUGCAAUGCACGGUCAUGGUGAGUUAUUGCUAAAUUACUUCUCAAGAAUGAUGGAGGCUGGGGUUAAACCUGACGGAGUUAGCUUUUUAGGAGUUUUAGUAGGAUGUAGCCAUGGGGGGCUGGUAGAUGAGGCCAGGAAGAUUUUCCAUGAGAUGGAAUCUUUUUAUGGUGUCCGUCGAGAGCCCAAACACUAUGGGUGCAUGGCUGAUUUGCUAGGCCGGGCUGGGUUGAUCAAAGAAGCAAUAGAAAUGAUAAAGAACUUGCCUACGGGUGGUGAUAUGUCUGCGUGGAGUGGUUUGCUAGGAGGGUGUAGGAUACAUGGGAAUGUUGAAAUUGCAGAGAUGGCAGCAAAGCAGGUGAUGGAGUUAAAACCUGAAGAUGGUGGGGUUUAUUCAAUCUUGGCUAAUGUUUAUGCCAAUGCAGAUCGAUGGGAAGAUGUGGUGAAGAUUAGGAGUUUGAUGAGUGGCAAUAGUAUUGUAAAGAAGAAUGCUGGUUGUAGCUUAAUUCAGUUGGAUGGGAUUGUACAUGAGUUUCUUGCGGGAGAUAGUUUGCAUGCACAAAGAGAUGAGAUAUAUAAGGUUUUAGAUGGAAUUAGGGAACAUCAAUUUGAAGUGUGGUAGUAAUAGGCCUGAACUUUCAGCAUAUAAAUGCUAGUUUGCGUUCUCUGUAUUAUUUAUGAGUUGUUAGGGGAAGUGGAUGGUGGGAGAGAUGACUGUUAGCCAGUUGCGCUAGAAUUCUUGGAUGAGGACAAAGAACAAAAGUGUGAAAAUUGGAUUAUGUAAGGACAAAUAUUUAUUUACGUGCACCGAUAUGCAAAUUCCCUUUGAACAAUCGUUUGGUUUAAGCAGGAGAUUCAUAGUGAAAUUGCAGUUGCAAACUUCAAAAUUUGUACCUCACAUAGUGAAAGGCCAACCAUUGUCCUUGAGGCGAGAGUUACAGCUAAUGGGAAAUGUGGCCUUUUUGGAGCUUCCUAGCAGAAACUUUUGUGAGGGAAUCCGGAAUCCUAACACAUAUCUACGUGCAGCAUUUUGAAGAUGCCAUUCUUAAAUUUGUUUCGGUGUAUAGAACCCUAAUUAAGAAAACAGAAGACGAGCAUGACUUGCCACUUCGAUGUUUGAUGCUGUGCACUCGAAUUACAAGAAGCAUUCCUUGGGCUUCUACACUGCUUAUUACGUAAUUCCAGAACCUCUCCUGAUCGCCACCUUCUAUAAAUUCCGAGAACGUAGCUGAAGACGACUGCUUGUUGAGCAAAGCCUCUCUCUUUCCGAGUUUCUUUGAUAUAAAGUUGCCACCCUAGAUAAUGGCAUCUUUCAUCUAUCCUGAUCAUGGCUUCAGAUUUGGGAAUACUUAUCCCAUGUAUAAAUGGUUGAAUUGUAACAUUUGAU